GCCAGUGGUAAAGCAUGUCCAAUGGCCAUUGAGGGUGGAAGAAGGGGCAGCGGGAAUGGGAGGUCUUCCUAAGAACACCCACAUCCCUCUAGAGCUACAUUCCCCUAUUUUGGCUUCUUUCUUCCCGUUCAUGUGUUGCGCUUAACUGAUGAGAUUUGGUGGUUCUUUUACCUGCUUCACACUUUUUACGUAUCUAUAAACGCAGACAGUGGCAGUGAAGGUGUUGACUCAGGCUGGCUCGGUCCCGACGCCAGAUGAUGGAAGUCACGUCUCACUCGCCUUUGCACGAUUGUGACCUCUUGAAGGCAGAGACUGAAUGUACCCAUGCUUUUCUUUUUAUCCUCCACAACCAAGCCUUCUACACAAUAGACUCUCAGUAUUUAUUGAUUGUUUACUGGGUUCUGGAGGAGAAAUGGGGGCCAAUCUGCAGCAGUUGCGUGCACCAUGACAACGUCCUUAGACUUUGUAAUAAAGAGUGGAGAAGGAUGGACAAGCUCUUUUAGCAGGUUUGGUCAAGGAGACCUGUCUGAAAAGUGACAAGCUGAGAGCUGGAUGAUGAGAACGUUAUAUGGAUUAAGGAAGAAAAAAAAACAAAGACCCCCCCAAAAGAACUACAACAAUCAUUAAAGAAGAAAAGCAAUAUAAAAUUCAGCACUGAAAGCAGGAAGGUAGCUGCACUAUCUGAAAGUCUGACUCACUCAUUUUCUGUCUCCAGAAAGGAAAUUGAAGCCCAGAGAGGUAAACAGACUUACCUAUGGUCACACAGCUAGGUAGUAACCUAGCUGGGAACAGACUUAACCUCCUAACUUCCAACUCCACACCCUGCUGAGAACCCUGAUGUUGGCCAUGAGACCUUGCACAUUUAAAAUGAUGCUGAGAGUGGAGGAGAACAAUAAGUGAACUCAGGAAGACAUGAUGGCUUCUGCAAUGACACUCAUAGAUGAAAUACAGAAUCCAGCUCCAACACUUAGGAUUGGAAACUAAGCACAAACAAGUGGACAACGGUUGGGACACAAGUUAUCUCAAAGGCUUCCUCACAUGUCUGGAAGUUGGUGUUGGCUGUCAACUGGGACCUUAGCUUAGCUGUGUGUCAGGCCAUCUAGUCAUGGUCUGUCCAUGUGACCUGAACUUCCCCAUAGGAAAUGAACUGUGUUCCCAGAGGGGGAGACUCAAGAGAAUGAGGCAAACACUGUAUCACCUUUUAUGACCUACUCUUAGAAGUCACAUAGUGCCACAGCAUAGUCCCAUCAUGGUCACAGGCCACACCAGAUUCGAGAGGAGAUAAUAUAGACACAUUCCUCCAAGGGAGGAGAAUCAACAUCAAUUUGUAAGAGGGGCAUGGGAGAUGGGAUAUAUAUUGUGGUGGUUAUCUUGGAAAGAUACGGGCUUCCACACUGGUUACAAUGGACUUGGGAAGAGCUUGGAUCUUGGAAGAAGCUGGAUGAGGUCCUAUAGCCAGUAUUGAGUGCCCCCUAGAGGGCUGGAAGGACAGUGCAGGACCCAGACGCCAAGCAGUUCCUUCUUAGGUUCAACAGGUGUUCAGUGGGUACUUCUCAUGUGACAGAAACUGGGGGUACAGCAGUGAGCAAGAGACAAGUCCCCAGCCUUUAUGAAGUGUAUGUCCUGGUGAGAACGUAAUGAACAACUGCCCAAGUAAAUACAGAAGUGCCAUGAGGAAUUCUAACACCGGGUUCCUGGCCUAGACUCAGCACCAAGAAAAGAGCGGGAGAAAAUGUCCCUGGCGCCCCAGGUGCAUGCCCUUUUCCAGAACCUGCCUGUAGUUCCAGAAGCUAUGGACUCAGGCCCUCACCUGGAAAGUGGCACUUCCGGUCAGCUCUUCCUCCUUUCCUGCCAGGAUGGAGGACCAGCAGCCUGCUCCUUAACCUAGAACAAUGCCCAGCCCUUCAGAGAUCUAGUGGAUGCCUAAAUUAGACUUAAAUUAUUUUUAUUAAUGUUAUUUAAAUUUGUACAAAAAAACAGAUAUUAAACCAUUUUCUUUUAGUGCUUACAUAAGACUAAAACACAUUUAGGUCACAGAACCAGUAAAGUUAGAAUUAAUAAUAUUAAUGAAACAUGAUAUGAUAUUGUUUUCCUAAAACCAAGUCUCUAUUCAAAACAUAAUGUCCUAACUGUCCAAGCCCAGCUCUUUCCCAUUCAGCCCAUCCGUGUCACCCUGGGCCAGGAGCAGACAUCCUCUCUUUGUGAGCUCAGCUUUUCUCUUUUCCUACCACUUCUAAACUAACUUUUGGAUAAAAUGCACUCUGUCGUGUUUUACCUUCCAGCAGAUGCAAACAUAUUUAUAUGUUAAGUCCACCUGUUUCUCAUUAGAGGAAAAUAAACAAAGUCGCUCUACUUGGCAUUACUGUGAUCCCAGGUGUAAACGUGGGGGCCGCAGUUAUGCACUGACUGUGGGUUAUACUUUGGAUAAUCACAUAAUUUAGAGUGUAUUCACUUAUAAGGGUAUGUAUUAUAUUAGAAUAUAUGCACU